rnacentral:rRNA from 1 species
GUAACAAGGUCUCCGUUGGUGAACCAGCGGAGGGAUCAUUAAAGAGAGCCUAAAAAACUCCCGCAAAACCCCAUGUGAACAUACCAUACGUUGCCUCGGCAGGCCCCAGACGCGCCUAGCGCGCGCACCCCCAGGGGGGGCGCGGCUGGGACCUGCCGGCGGCCCAAGCAAACCCUGUCGUCACUGAAUUCUGAGCCCGCAUGUAGGAAAUUAAGUUAAAACUUUCAACAACGGAUCUCUUGGUUCUGGCAUCGAUGAAGAACGCAGCGAAAUGCGAUAAGUAAUGUGAAUUGCAGAAUUCAGUGAAUCAUCGAAUCUUUGAACGCACAUUGCGCCCGCCAGUAUUCUGGCGGGCAUGCCUGUUCGAGCGUCAUUUCAACCCCUUAAGCCCCUGUUGCUUAGCGUUGGGAGCCUACGGCCCGCCGUAGCUCCUCAAAGUUAGUGGCGGAGCCGGCCCGCACCCCAGGCGUAGUAGUUCAGUCAGCUCGCCCGCGGUCGGACCAGUCCCCUGCCGUAAAACACCCCAUUCUCGCAAGGUGACCUCGAUCAG